GGAGAGGAGCUGCCUGGCCCCGGUGCGCGGCCUGGGCCGAAGGGACGUGUCCCGCAGCGGCCCUGUUGGACGGACCAAGCCGUGGGUCUCGCCAUCAGUUCCACAUUGCUGGGUGCGGCCCGGCCAUCCUCAAGAAGCCCAAGGUCCUCCUCUUGUGAAGCAGAGGAGCCUUCAUUACUGCAGGCUGAGCGGUUGGUCACGCACAUGUGGUGGCUGCCUUGUGCAGGUCAGCUGCGGCUUGUGUGUGAGCUUGGAGGCCUCGGCAGAAGACCAUCCGUGAAGAUUCAACUCCAGUUGACAACAGGGAGAACAGGAUCAAGCUUUGCUGAAAAUCUUCUUCAGCUACAUUGAAAUUCAGGUGGAGGAACCACUCAGUCCAGUGAGUUUUACAGUUUCCAGUGAGCUUCUACAAAAGCCUCUUUUCAUGACAUUAUUUCUUCAGAUGCACAAUGCCAGCCUCUGCUGUUCAAGGGAAAGAAGUAUUCAGUGACCCAGGACAAGGGAUGGGGUAGCCUCAAUCUCAUGAUGUUUUACUAAAGGAUUAGAGAAUGAAACAAAGAGCCUUUGGAAAUAAGAAGAGACAGGCAAUGACAUCAACA